AUGCAGGAAAUCUUCGAGGUUCACAUAAAGGAGCUCAUCGCUGGUUCGCAAAACCUGCGCCUCCGCCUCGACUAUUACCACAGCUGGCACAUGGCCUCCUCCACUUCUUCCUGUUGAUGGUCGCCGCCGCCCACCACAAGCCUAAAACUGCGAUUGCAUUCCAACGGGUAAAGCUGGAUGAUGUUAAGCUUGCUCAUGAAAGACUUGCAGGAUAAAAUCAUAUUGGACCAAGGGUGGUGCGGGACUCUACCAAAGCUGCCAAGGCAACAUGAUGGCCAAGUUAGAGCAAGACGACAAGACCAAUAAGAAGCGUGGUGCUGGUGGUGCUGUCAUCUGGAGCUGCUGCGUAGAAAUGAGUUGGGAAACAGCAAGGUUCAACUGCAGACUUAAAUUUCUUAGAUCCGCAUUUUGUGAAGGUUUAGAAGCUGGGAGCAUAGGACACUGCUGUCUCCGUUGAGAGCUUUACAUGCUCCCGUACUUGCAUUUUGGACCUUCACCUGCCAUGUGAUGUUUAGAAGACUUAAGGAAGGGCUGUAUGAAAUCUGCUUAGUCUGGUGCAGGGUAGGGGAGGGCUAGCAGCCCGGUUCAGGUAAACAGCCUCGCAGACCAGUCUACACAUUGUAACAUGAGGUUUUGUAGUGCUUUAAGUCGUGGAGCUGUAAUAAUAUUUGUAUUUAGCUUGCAUUUCUGUUUGGUUAAACUCCUGAUGGAGGUGGGCUGUCUGUUUGAAUGUCACGUUAGAUGAGCUGUAUGCACCUUUUAUUUGUUAAUUUGGUU